UAGUACAUUUCUCACCUAUGGCCUGUUAAGGAGAAGUACAGAAGAUACCAGAAGAGUAAUUUGAAGAGCACCACUUUAGGAAUACAAACUGGGGUGGUGAGAAGUCAGAGACCAUCCCAGCAGCGUUAGAUAACUGGCAGGAAGCCUGUCACAGACCACAAGCACAUCCGAGUCACCCGUCACCCUUGGCAUCGCCCAGGAAGCAAUCUGAACCCAAGACUCUUGCAGUGUUGAGGGUUUUGUGGAGGUGCAGCUCAUCUCAGCAGCAGAAGGCACAAGGCAGGAGUCAACACUUGAUGGGAUGCCAGGCUAUAUAUAACUACGCACAUUUACGGAGAGAGCUAAAGUUUCUGUGUUACACAUUAAGCAGACAGUUCUUUUGGCUCCCAAUUUACGAAACCCCCUGAAGCUACUGGAUUUUCUUCCUUUUUUACAUUAAGGUAAGGACUUUCUUAAAGAAAUCUCCAUUUUAUUAAUGUAAAUAGUUUAAAGGUGAGGGGGUGCAUGCUUUACAGACAGAUGGUGAUCAGGUCUGCUGAACUAUUUCAUAAAGAGGCUGCUCACUUUUACUUUCUUAAUAUUUCAAACUAACCACGUGAUGACUUUCACCUGUUUGCU